rnacentral:rRNA from 1 species
UACGUAGGGGGCCAGCGUUGUCCGGAAUCAUUGGGCGUAAAGCGCACGUAGGCGGAUUGUUAAGUCAGGGGUGAAAUCCUGGAGCUCAACUCCAGAACUGCCUUUGAUACUGGCGAUCUCGAGUCCGGGAGAGGUGAGUGGAACUGCGAGUGUAGAGGUGAAAUUCGUAGAUAUUCGCAAGAACACCAGUGGCGAAGGCGGCUCACUGGCCCGGUACUGACGCUGAGGUGCGAAAGCGUGGGGAGCAAACAGG